GAAAAACUAAAUUUACUUCAUAGUAGACGUCUGUGACGAAAAUACCAUUACAUAAAAAAUAACAAACAAUUAAAACAACUAGAAUACAAAAACUAUGCAAUUACAACCAUCAAAACAAUUUUGAACAUGUAAUGCAUCAUCCUACGAGCGUCUUGGUUGGUCUUAAUAUCCACCCAUUCGCGCACUUCUCCGUGUUGGUUAAACAUGGACACAAUCCAUUGUAUUC
rnacentral:lncRNA from 1 species